UACGUAGGAUGCAAGCGUUGUCCGGAUUUAUUGGGUUUAAAGGGUGCGUAGGUGGUUUGAUAAGUCGUGGGUGAAAGGUAUCAGCUUAACUGAUGAAAUGCCUGCGAUACUGUCAGACUUGAGUACGGUUGAGGUAUGUAGAAUUGAUGGUGUAGCGGUGAAAUGCAUAGAUACCAUCAGGAAUACCAAUUGCGAAGGCAGCAUACUAAGCCGUAACUGACACUGAGGCACGAAAGCGUGGGGAUCAAACAGG
rnacentral:rRNA from 1 species